GUACAGCCCAUGCUCAUAGGUGCUUGCUCACGGACAGGUAGGGGCAGAAAGUGAAAUACCCGCAGUCAGGCAUAUGGACAAGCAUGUCACCCUGAAGCCCCCCCACCCCACCCCACCCCACUCCGGGGAACUCAGACUAUAACCUCGCACGCAUUUGCACACAAAACUAUGGCCCUAGGAGCUCUAUACCAAAGCGCAGAAUGAGCAGAAUUCGCCAGAAAUUCUAGCGGAAUUUAACAUUGUUAAGAAGCAUGAAAGGUGAACGCAGUGUUAGCUCCCCCCCCCCCCCCCAUCUGCACAAGAACAGCAAGUAAACCCCGGCUUGAGCCCCCACGGCCCCCACGGCCCCAAGAACAGGCCUGCGGAUGUCGUUCCCAGAGCCGCCGGCAGAGGGCGAUGCUGCGAGGCGGUGCGGGAGCUGCGCCCGGGCCCGGUUACCGCGCGCGGGGAAGUUCCUGGGGCCCCGCAGAGUUUCAGGUGGGCGCAGGUUCCCAUGCUGGCUUUCCUCGUAGUUUCUGCCCGGGGGGGGGGGGGGGCGGGGGGAAUGGAAACCGGGCGAGAGCAGCGGAGCUCCCCGACCGCACACUUCCUCGGUUUGUCCCAUCCGGCGAGGGCGGGGGCUGCUGGGCCGGCGGUCCCACUGGUUAUCCGACCUGGUGCUCGGGUUGGGCGGAGACAGGGCCUCCAGCUCCCAGCGCCUUCUCCCAUCUCGUCUGCCCUUAGGCUUCAAGCGACAAGAGAGGAUCUUCUCUCGUUAGACAACAAAGCACAGCAUCCUGUAUCCGAGGCAUAUGUAGAUGCGGGCAAAGCACCUUCCCUGCAACUUCCUAUGCCCCUCAGCAAAACACAAGGGAUGCAAAUGUGCUGAUGUAAAAUGGAUCCAAGCGGAGGAGGAGGCAUUUGAAUUUACCUGCUACUAGCCUAGAACCUGACUGAAGGCUGCACAGGUAUUUGUGAGCAUCAAGUUCUAGAAGCCUUUCCCUCCAGGGGAUCAUUGAAGGAAUUGUAGGUUAUAAAUAGAUGCACUUUGUUUGUGGUCUGUUUCAAUAAGGUCAGGCUUUUUUAUUUUUUUAAGAUAAAAAAAUUUUAAGGUAGUGAAACAACAUUGUUUAGUAGGGACAACACUUUUUCAGAUUCAAUUUGCAACUACAGGG
rnacentral:lncRNA from 12 species